AACGUGGCUCAGUCGGUAGAGCAGUCGAUUCGUAAUCGACAGGUCGCGGGUUCGAAUCCCGCCGUUA
rnacentral:tRNA from 1 species